CACGGCAAAGCCGCCCGGUGGAUGGCUCGGCUCGGGCGCCGAAGAAGGGCGUGGCAAGUUGCGAUAAGCCCGGGGGAGCCGCAGGCAGGCUUAGAACCCGGGAUCCCCGAAUGGGGCUUCCUGCCGGGGCUGAACAAGCCCCGGCGCCCCGUAAGGGGCGGGAACGCGGGGAACGGAAACAUCUUAGUACCCGCAGGAAGAGAAGCCAACAGGGAACCCCUGAGUAGGGGCGACCGAAAGGGGGAGAGCCCAAACCAAAUCCCCACGGGAAAACCGUGGGGAGAUGUGGGGCAUGGGCCUGGGCAACCGCCGGCGGGCGGUAGCCGAAGUGGGCUGGAAAGCCCCGCCGUAGAGGGUGACAGCCCCGUAGGCGAAACCGCCCGUGGCGGAGUCCCGGGGUCCCGGAGUACCACGGCUUAGCUUUGCCGUGGGAAUACGCCGGCCACUGGCCGGCAAGGCUAAGCACGUCCCGAGUCCGAUAGCGCACUAGUACCGUGAGGGAAAGCUGAAAAGAACCCCGGAAGGGGGGUGAAAAGAGCCUGAAACCGGGCGGCUACAGUGGGGCGGGCCCGAAAGGAUGCCCCCUCCCAAAGGAAACCCCGGUGACGGGGGAGUACGAGGGAGGGGGGCCAGGGUCCGCCCUUACGUCUAGAAACACGGGCCGGGGAGUGCACGGCCGUGGCGAGCCUAAGGGGUUCAACCCCGGAGGCGUAGGGAAACCGACAGCCCGCAGCGGGGAAACCCGCGAGGGGCGGGGUCUGAAAGGGCCCGUAGUCACGGCCGUGCGACCAGAAACCGGGCGAUCUAGCCCUGGGCAGGGCGAAGCGGGGCGAAAGCCCCGUGGAGGCCCGAAGGGGUUCUGAUGUGCAAAUCGUUCCCAUGACCUGGGGCUAGGGGCAAAAGACCAAUCAAGCCCGGUGAUAGCUGGUUCCCCCCGAAGCGGGUCCCAGCCCGGCCUCCCCGGAGGUUGCCGGCGGGGUAGAGUACUGAUCGGGGGUGCGGGAGCCGAAAGGCUCCGGCCCCCGGUCAAACUCCGAACCUGCCGGCGCCGUAGAAGGGGGGAGGCGGGGGCGGUGGGGUAAGCCUCCGCUCCGAGACGGGAACAACCGAGACCGGGGUUAAGGCCCCCAAGUGCGGGCUUAGUGUCAAUCUCGAAGGGCGUCCCCCGCCCAAGACAGCGGGACCGUGGGCCUAACAGCAGCCAUCGGCUAAGCAACGCGUAACAGCGGACCCGCCGAGGCGGGGGGCCCCGAAGAUGUACAGGGACUAAGCCCGCCGCCGAUACCCCGGGCCUCCGGCCGUUGGCCGGAGUGCGGUAGGGGGGCGCGGCCGUGGGGCAGAAGCCGGGCCGUGAGGUCCGGUGGACCCGCGGCCGACGAAGAUCCCGGCGGUAGUAGCAGCGAAGAGGGGUGAGAAGCCCCUCCGCCGGAAAGGACAAGGGUUUCCUGGCAACUUCAAUAGGCCAGGAGUUAGCCGGUCCUAAGGCGGGGCCUAAUAGGCACCCGCCGAAAGGGAAACGGGUUAAUAUUCCCGUGCCGCGGGGGUAGGUUUCGCGGCAACGCAGGCCCCGUCCCCGACGCCUCGGGAUAGGGCGGGCGGGACCACCGUCCCGCUUAACCGUCGAAGGCCGGGGAGUGCCGUAAUGGCGAGAACCGGCCGAAGGCGGGAAUAGCCGGGGGUUUCCCCGGUCCGCCCGACUCCUGGGGCCCGUGAAAAGGGGACGGGGAACGAGCCCCCGCGCCCGUACCGAGAACCGACGCAGGUGCUCCUGGGUGAGUAGCCCAAGGCGGCUCGGGUGACCCCGGGCCAGGGAACUCGGCAAAUUGGCCCCGUAACUUCGGGAGAAGGGGUGCCUGCGGUCUUGGGGUCCACCCCUGGGACCGCAGGUCGCAGUGGCAAGGGGGACCUGACUGUUUAACAAAAACAUAGGUCCCCGCGAGCCCGUAAGGGUGUGUACGGGGGCUGAAUCCUGGCCACUGGCGGUACGUGAACCCCGGGUACAACCGGGCGAAGCGCCGCUGAAGGCCGGGGGUAACUCUGACCCUCUUAAGGUAGCCAAAUGCCUUGCCGGGUAAGUUCCGGCGUGCAUGAAUGGAUCAACGAGGUCCCCACUGUCCCGGCCCGGGGCCCGGCGAACCCACCUCCAGGUGCACAGUCCUGGGACCCCCGACGGGGCGAGAAGUCCCUGUGGAGCUUCACAGCAGCCUGUCGUUGCGGGGGGGCGGGGGGUGCAGAGCGUAGGUGGGAGCGAUGAAACGGGGUCUCCGGGCCCCGUGGAUGCGGCCCUGGAACACCACCCACUCUCCGCCCCUCCGCUUACCCGCCGCAAGGCGGGGACAGCGGCAGGCGGGCUGUUCGGCUGGGGCGGCACACCCCUGAAAAGAUAUCGGGGGUGCCCAAAGCUCGGCUCAGGCGGGUCAGAAAUCCGCCGUAGAGUGUAAGGGCAAAAGCCGGGCUGACUGGGCCCUUGAGCGCAAGGGGCCCAGGCGGGAAACCGGGGCCUAGAGAACGCUCGUGCCCCCACCAGUGGGGGCCGGGCAUGACAGAAAAGUUACCCCAGGAAUAACCGGCUCGUCGCGGGUGAGAGUCCCCAUCGACCCCGCGGUUUGGUACCCAGACGUCGUCUCUUCCCAUCCUGGCGGUGCAGCAGCCGCCAAGGGUGGGGCUGCCCGCCCAUUAAAGGGGAACGUGAGAUGGGUUCAGACCGUCGCGAGACAGGUCGGUCUCUACCUGUCGGGGGCGUUGGCCGCCUGAGGGGAAGGUGCCCUCAGUACGAGAGGAACGGGGCGCCGCGGCCUCUAGUGUACCGGUUGUCCGGCAGGGCACUGCCGGGCAGCCACGCCGUGUGGGGAUAACCGCUGAAUGCAUCUAAGCGGGAAGCCCUCCCCGAGACGAGGCGGCCGUUGCCCUGGGGGCGACCCUGGGGCACGAGGGCUCCCGUAGAAGACGGGGUUGAUGGGGGGGCGGUGUAACCCCCAAGGGUUUCCCGAGGGGGGAGCCGGCCCCUCCCAAUCGCCCGAGCGUGCGGGGCGGCGGGCGAAAGGGCUAAGCGGCGGCGUGGGG
rnacentral:rRNA from 2 species